rnacentral:lncRNA from 1 species
AGCACAGUCCAUCCAGUAGGUAGUAGUAGUAGUGUAUCACUCUAGCAGCACAGUCCAUCCAGUAGGUAGUAAUAGUGUCACACUCUAGCAGCACAGUCCAUCCAGUAGGUAGUAGUAGUAGUGUCACACUCUAGCAGCACAGUCCAUCCAGUAGGUAGUAGUAGUAGUAGUGUCACACUCUAGCAGCACGGUCCAUCCAGUAGGUAGUAGUAGUAGUGUCACACUCUAGCAGCACAGUCCAUCCAGUAGGUAGUAGUAGUGUCACACUAUAGCAGCACAGUCCAUCCAGUAGGUAGUAGUAGUGUCACACUGUAUCAGCACAGUCCAUCAAGUAGGUAGUAGUAGUAGUGUCACACUCUAGCAGCACAGUCCAUCCAGUAGGUAGUAGUAGUAGUGUGUCACUCUAGCAGCACAGUCCAUCCAGUAGGUAGUAGUAGUGUAACACUAUAGCAGCACAGUCCAUCCAGUAGGUAGUAGUAGUGUAUCACUCUAGCAGCACAGUCCAUCCAGUAGGUACUAGUAGUAGUGUCACACUAUAGCAGCACAGUCCAUCCAGUAGGUAGUAGUUGUGUCACACUGUAUCAGCACAGUCCAUCCAGUAGGUAGUAGUAGUAGUAGUGUCACACUCUAGCAGCACCGUCCAUCCAGUAGGUAGUAGUAGUGUCACACUAUAGCAGCACAGUCCAUCCAGUAUGUAGUAGUGUAUCACUCUAGCAGCACAGUCCAUCCAGUAGGUAGUAGUAGUAGUGUGUCACACUCUAGCAGCACAGUCCAUCCAGUAGGUAGUAGUAGUGUAUCACUCUAGCAGCACCGUCCAUCCAGUAGGUAGUAGUAGUGUCUCACUCUAGCAGCACAGUCCAUCCAGUAGGUAGUAGUAGUGUGUCACACUCUAGCAGCACAGUCCAUCCAGUAGGUAGUAGUAGUGUCACACUCUAGCAGCACAGUCCAUCCAGUAGGUAGUAGUAGUGUGUCACACUCUAGCAGCACAGUCCAUCCAGUAGGUAGUAGUAGUGUCACACUCUAGCAGCACAGUCCAUCCAGUAGGUAGUAAUAGUGACACACUCUAGCAGCACAGUCCAUCCAGUAGGUAGUAGUAGUGUCACACUCUAGCAGCACAGUCCAUCCAGUAG